UACGUAGGGGGCGAGCGUUGUCCGGAUUUAUUGGGCGUAAAGAGCGUGUAGGCGGCCAGGUAGGUCUGCUGUGAAAACUCGAGGCUCAACCUCGAGACGUCGGCGGAAACCAUCUGGCUAGAGUCCGGAAGAGGAGAGUGGAAUUCCUGGUGUAGCGGUGAAAUGCGCAGAUAUCAGGAAGAACACCCGUGGCGAAGGCGGCUCUCUGGGACGGUACUGACGCUGAGGAGCGAAAGCGUGGGGAGCGAACCGG
rnacentral:rRNA from 1 species